UUGACUCGAAUACAUACACAGAGUGUUGGCAAGCUAUUUUAUCAUGGAGUUAGUGACACAUUGUAAACAUUCCAAUGUGCUGCCUAGAAAAGAGCACGCAACAUCCCAAUCUAAUUGCUUUAUGCUGGUAUUCCUCCAAUACCUAAUAAUUGUAUGUCAAAUAUUCUGACUGAAAACAUGGUAGCCAAAGGAAUACUCCUCGAUUGUCCCCCAUCCUCUUUCUUGGAUCUUAACUUCUGGGAUUGUUUGUUCAUAUUAGUUUACUCGCUGGCUGCCACAUUUUGCUUCCCAUGUGAGAUCUAUUGAAUUUCAUGUGUGUUGAUGGUGUGGAAUCCUGGUAUUGCUAACUAUUAGCUCCAGUCUAAAUUUGGUCUUGUUGCCGAUUUUUUUUGGCACAAUACUUUCCCUCCAGAAGCCGGUCUUUAGUGAAUUAUCGGAGGAGGUUGAUCCAAAAUAUUCAUUGGUGCAUAACUUAGUAGUACUGCAACUUUUACAGAUAGAUUCUCAUUAUGAUUUACUUUUUUUGUUCUUUUCAGAUUCACUGGCCUAUUAGCACGAAAUGUGGUAAAACCCUUUUGAGAAGAGCCUUGCUGUGCCAAACUUUAAAGUUCUGUUGAUCGUUCGACAUUCCAAGAACUUUUCCAGGAAUUCGAAGGAAGUUCUAGUGGCAGCUUAUGUUCACUGGCAAAUGCUGCGUGACACAUUAUGACACACAAAACAAGCCUAGACGCCCAUUUAUUCCACAUCAAACAUCUCUUUAUCCUUCGUGAGCAGAUAACUCCUUUUCAAGUCGACUUAAAAGUAGCGGUCGACGAAAUAGCGGGCAGCAGAGUGCCGAUUUGACUGUUGGGAACGUUAUAUUGGAGCACUUCCACCACUUUGAAAAAUUUGUGACAUCUAAUGUGAAGCUGCCCCUUCAACACUGCAACCAAAUUGAAGAUCUCGAUUCGGCUUUAGCCAACAACGAUCUAUCGAUUGCAAUGUGUGCCUUUUUUUCAAAAAUCUUGAAAACCAUGUCAUCUCGCGAUCAAGUAUCGAAGAUGUUGAUGAGCAAACUCUUCACCAAUUCAUUGUGCUCAAAGAUUCAAUGGUAAAAAAGAGGAAACGACAGGCGUCCAGGAUUCGGUCAUCUGACCAAUCUGAUUGCAGUUAUGGGAGUUAUUAUGAACAUCAUACGGGAAAUCAACAAUAAGGCACCUAAAGUGGACUUCAAAGAGCUAAUAGGAGCCAUCCAAAGCGCUCGUCGCAUCUUGUCGUUCGAGUUAAAAAACAAAGAUUUGAAUCAAAUCGAAGUCCCAGACGAAGUAGAAGGGCACAGCGAGCCGAUCGUAAAACCCAACUCGCUGUAGACAGCAGAAUGGCAGAACUGUACAACGCCAUCCUGAAUUUUGAACUAAAUUAGCGGUUUAUGUACAAGUACGUUGUAACUACACCACAAAAAUUAUUGAUUUAUCGCUCGCUAUAUGCUCAAUAACAUUUUCUUGUCUACAGGUCAUUUGUGUUCAGCAGUUAUUGAUUCCUCAAGUACAUCCCGUGUUUAAUUGCUCAUUUCAUUGCUCAUUUAAGAAUUUUAUGACGUUUCAGUUUAAGCAAUAUGACAAUACAUUUGAGAAUCCCGGAGUAAAA